rnacentral:rRNA from 1 species
AUCGAACGCUGGCGGCAGGCCUAACACAUGCAAGUCGAACGGUAACAGGCAGAAGCUUGCUUCUUUGCUGACGAGUGGCGUACGGGUGAGUAAUGUCUGGGAAACUUUCUGAUGGAGGGGGGUAACUACUGGAAACGGUAGCUAAUACCGCAUAACGUCGCAAGACCAAAGUGGGGGACCUUCCGGUUUCUUGCCAUCUGAUGUGCUCAGAUGGUGUUUGUUAGUAGGUGGGGUAACGGCUCACCUAGGCGUCGAUCCCUAGCUGGAGUGAGAGGCUGAUCGGCCACACGGGAACUGAAACGCGGACAAGAGGCCUACGAGAGGGAGCAGAGGGGAAUGUUGGACAGUAGGGGGAAGCAUGAUGCAGCGAUGGCGAGUGUAAGAAAAAGACCUUCGGGUAGUAAAGUACGUUCAGCGGGGGGGAAGGGAGUAAAGUAAAGACCUUUGGUAAUUGACGGUACCCGCAGAAGAAGCACCGGCUAACUACGUG